rnacentral:rRNA from 1 species
GUCGUCAACAAGGUUUCCGUAGGUGGAACCUGGCGGAAGGAUCAUUACCUAGAGUUGUAGGCUUUGCCUGCUAUCUCUUACCCAUGUCUUUUGAGUACCUUACGUUUCCUCGGUGGGUUCGCCCACCGAUUGGACAAACUUAAACCCUUUGCAGUUGAAAUCAGCGUCUGAAAAACUUUAAUAGUUACAACUUUCAACAACGGAUCUCUUGGUUCUGGCAUCGAUGAAGAACGCAGCGAAAUGCGAUAAGUAGUGKGAAUUGCAGAAUUCAGUGGAAUCAUCGAAUCUUUGGAACGCACAUUGCGCCCYYUGGUAUUCCRGAGGGCAUGCCUGUUCGAGCGUCAUUUSAACCCUCAAGCCUGGCUUGGUGAUGGGGCACUGCCUUUGAGACACAAGGCAGGCCCUUAAAUUCAGUGGCGAGCUCGCCAGGACCCCGAGCGCAGUAGUUAAACCCUCGCUUUGGAAGAGCUUGGUGUGGCCCUGCCGUUAAACCCCCAACUUCUGAAAAUUUGACCUCGGAUCAGGUAGGAAUACCCGCUGA